AUUGAACGCUGGCGGCAGGCUUAACACAUGCAAGUCGAGCGGGGUGAUGGUGCUUGCACUAUCACUUAGCGGCGGACGGGUGAGUAAUGCUUAGGAAUCUGCCUAUUAGUGGGGGACAACAUCUCGAAAGGGAUGCUAAUACCGCAUACGUCCUACGGGAGAAAGCAGGGGAUCACUUGUGACCUUGCGCUAAUAGAUGAGCCUAAGUCGGAUUAGCUAGUUGGUGGGGUAAAGGCCUACCAAGGCGACGAUCUGUAGCGGGUCUGAGAGGAUGAUGCGCCACACUGGGACUUAGACACGGCCCAGACUCCUACGGGAGGCAGCAGUGGGGAAUAUUGGACAAUGGGGGGAACCCUGAUCCAGCCAUGCCGCGUGUGUGAAGAAGGCCCUAUGGUUGUAAAGCACUUUAAGCGAGGAGGAGGCUCUUUUGGUUAAUACCCAAGAUGAGUGGACGUUACUCGCAGAAUAAGCACCGGCUAACUCUGUGCCAGCAGCCGCAGUAA
rnacentral:rRNA from 1 species